UACGGAGGGGGUUAGCGUUGUUCGGAAUGACUGGGCGUAAAGCGCGCGUAGGCGGCUUUGUAAGUUAGAGGUGAAAGCCCGGAGCUCAACUCCGGAACUGCCUUUAAGACUGCAUCGCUAGAAUUGUGGAGAGGUAAGUGGAAUUCCGAGUGUAGAGGUGAAAUUCGUAGAUAUUCGGAAGAACACCAGUGGCGAAGGCGACUUACUGGACACAUAUUGACGCUGAGGUGCGAAAGCGUGGGGAGCAAACAGG
rnacentral:rRNA from 1 species